AACGAACGCUGGCGGCAGGCUUAACACAUGCAAGUCGAGCGAGACCUUCGGGUCUAGCGGCGGACGGGUGAGUAACGCGUGGGAACGUGCCCUUCUCUACGGCAUAGCCCCGGGAAACUGGGAGUAAUACCGUAUACGCCCUUUGGGGGAAAGAUUUAUCGGAGAAGGAGCGGCCCGCGUUGGAUUCGGUAGUUGUUGGGGUAAUGGCCCACCAAGCCGACGAUCCAUAGCUGGUUUGGGAGGAUGAUCAGCCACACUGGGACUGAGACACGGCCCAGACUCCUACGGGAGGCAGCAGUGGGGAAUCUUAGACAAUGGGGGCAACCCUGAUCGAGCCAUGCCGCUUGAGUGAUGAAGGCCUUAGGGUUGUAAAGCUCUUUCAGCUGGGAAGAUAAUGACGGUACCAGCAGAAGAAGCCCCGGCUAACUCCGUG
rnacentral:rRNA from 1 species